AACGUAGGACGCAAGCGUUAUCCGGAGUUACUGGGCGUAAAGCGCGGGCAGGUGGCUCGAAACGUCUGAUGUGAAAUCUCCUCGCUCAACGGGGAGAGGCCAUUGGAAACGGUCGGGCUGGAGGGCAGUAGAGGCAGGCGCAAUUCCGGGUGGAGUGGUGAAAUGCGUAGAGAUCCGGAGGAACACCAGAGGCGAAGGCGGCCUGCUGGGCUGCACCUGACGCUGAACCGCGAAAGCCAGGGGAGCGAACGGG
rnacentral:rRNA from 1 species